UUUUAUUAUAAGCAGAUGAUUGCCAGUGCCCCCAGUGACUUUACCGAGAUGGUAAACAUGGGGAUGAGGCUCGAAGAAGGUGUCCGAGAAGGACGGUUGUCUAGAGAGGAGGUGUCAUCCAGCAAGAAGUAGGACAACAGUUUUAGCAAGAAGAAGGACAAUGAAGCUAAUGCAGUUUCAAGCGGGAGGUAAAGGAAGCCUCAGGUUAGAGAAAUCAACCACCCCGUCAACAUCAUCAUCAAGUAUCUUCAGUCAUUCCAGUAUUUUC
rnacentral:lncRNA from 1 species